GGAGGCACGUUUGCUGGUAUAGCUAGCGAUCGAGUGAGAUUGGCUGGUGGCACCGCGACGGCAGCGGAGGAUGCGGGAGGGAGGGUGUGCAUGCGCUUGUCAGCCGCGUCGCACUUGAUACCGUCCCGGUACUUUCACCUAUGCAGAAAGUGCUUUGUGCAAGCACUGUUUACGAAGACGUCAAUUCCCAUCAACACUUACAGCAGCGGCGGUGGCUUGAUGUGAUACGUGUCCGGUCGUGUUCUCGGCGCUUUUGUGACGUUCGCGUUGCUCUAUCUUCAA